AUCGUUUCUUGGCCUUUUGGCUAAGAUCAAGUGUAGUAAUUUUUUUUUAAUUCCAGUAUAAUUAACACACAGUGUUAUAUUCAAGAUUUAUCUUUAAACACCCCUGCUUGAACAAGUUUGGACAAAGUGGUCCUAAGUGUAACUUGC
rnacentral:snRNA from 1 species